rnacentral:SRP_RNA from 13 species
AGGGAGCAGCAGUUCAGGGAACGCAAAUCGUUCGGCGGUGACCGUCGGGAGCAGCAGCGAAGUGGAAGCCGGCGGGGGCGACAA